UUAGGCUCAAGUCCCAAUACGUUCUGCUGCUGCGUGCAUCCCACGUUUCUCUACUUAAAUACGGUCCGUAUACAUGUAUACAUGAUAUACGGAGAGAAUGAACUCACGGAGAAACAGUAGGGCUGUGGAAGGUUGGAUAGAAAUGUAGUCUCUGUAAGAAGUAUUCCUUGAUAUUUAUCCAUGGUUUUUGGCUUUGUGUAAUCCACGACUGUAUUAUCAUCUUCAUGCAUGACUGAAUAGCUCCCCCAAUAAUUCAUAUGGCCAAUACUAGUCAACCUCUAUUUGCAGCUACCCCUGUCUUAUCACCCACUUUGUUUGUUUACGGGCGGACAUGGUAGAAAGAUCGGAGGGAACACGAAAAAGCGUGCUAUCAGGACAUGUGAAUGGGGUCAGACGCAUCUAUGCAACCCGCUUCCCAAGAUGGCCUUUCAAGAUUUGAGCCUGCUGUUAUUAAUAUGGAGCGGUUUGUGGAGGAAGAAGAAGAAGAAGAAGAGGAAGGGAGAUGUGAUGGGGACGCUUUGUUGCCCACCUCAUUCGAUCGACAUAUGCUUUUCCUUCCCCUUGGUCUCUUCAUCUGCUCGUACAUAUUGAAUACUCGAACGCUUGUUGUUCUCAUAUGUUGUGGAUGCAUAUGGAUGUGCAUGGAUUCUGAGUGUGUUUCUUGUUUCUUUUGUGUUGCUGUUUUGUCUCAGUUUACGAGUAGUUCAGCUUAGAGAUUUGGAGGGAUUUUUUGGGUUCGAGGUGGAGCUCCUUGAAGUCCAAAGGAGGGUCUUGGUUGGGUGGAUUGAGCUGCUGGUUUAUGGAUUCCACUGCCCUAUUCCAUGUUUUCUUUGCUAUAGUUGAUGACAAAGAUGGUGAAUGUUUUGGGAUAGGCUUGUGGUUUGCAUAACUCAGGAGCUGCAUCAACCCAGCCUGACCUUUAUUUGGAUUGAAGGGAGCUCUACAUCUGUUUAUUCCAACUUUCUGUUCUUGUUUUCAUUUCUAUGUCUUGUUUCAGAAUCACAACCCUCUCUCUCUCUCUCUCUCUCUCUCAGUCUGCUUCUUUCUUGAUUAUUGCCAAGAUUUUGAUGAGGGUUUGCAUCAUAUAAAGGGGUUUUCUGCCUACUUUAUUUGGAUCGUGUUAUUCUUUGGCAAUAUACCGGAUAUCAUUACAUCUUAAAUAACAGCAGCAGUGUAAAAUCUUUCAUUGUGUGUGUCUAUCAUAAGGAUUUAUUAUACAGCUUUUGCAGGAUUCAAUGCAUGUUUUGGUGCAGAUCGACUACAGAAAUGACAUCAGAAUCACUCUGUAAAAGAUUAAUUAAUCAGGUUCUGAAGAAAGAUAAUGAAGCAUGUCAUGAGUUGCUGCGCCAAUGGUGUGCGAGUCGUUGGUCAUCAACGAUGUGGAGCCUCCAUAGUUGAGAUCAUCUUCAGUGUCCUUCGUCUUCUAUUAAAGCUUCGACUGUGAAUGGGUCCACCAUUUGUAUUUUAAUUGGAUAAUCACGGCAGCCUCGAUCUAUUGUUUUAAUGUUCCGAUAAAUACAGACGGAAUCUACAAGACAAGCAGAUGAAGUUAUGCCCUCCACUUGCAUAUGCUUAUCUUGAAGUAGAGGAUGUUCCGGAAUUGCUUGUUGCUUUCAUCUCUUGUCCUUGGACAACAAUGAUAGAAUCUGGAAUGGACUCUGUGAAGAUAAAUGGCUUCUAUAAUACAAUCGGCAGCAUUAAAAAUAUGAUUUAUUGAGGUUGGUGAGAUGGGACCAAAAUUUCUCGGCAGUGUUUCAUGGUCUACGAAAACUAUACUUCAUCAACUGAGUUGGGUCUGAGAGAGAGGUGACAUAAUAUUUGGUUGAUACUUCUGUUGUCCUCUAAAACUUACCAAUACACGUGAUUUUUAUGUUA